UAAGAAUUAGUCUGUGUGUACUAGGAUUUAGUGAAUACGUGGGUUCGAAGUUGUUGUUCGGUACGUGGCCAGUGCUGUUCGAUUAAAUUUCGUAAUCUAUGUCUUUCAUGGCAGAGUACACAGAUGUUUAUUCGUCAUAACCAAGUUCAAUCAUGAAAUGAUUGAUCCUUUUUUGUUGGAUAAUGAGAACCAUUUUUAGUGUAAUUAUCUAAUUAUUCCAGUUACCUUGUUACAGGUUGAUAGGGAAGUUUAUUUAGUUUAUAUUAUGUCUCUUAUUCAUAGAGUUUGUGCUUUGACUAUCCCUAUACCUAGCAAGUUCAUUUGAUUCCAUAUUUAGGGUAUUUAGACAGAUGAGUUGUUAUUGUCAUUAUAUUGUUACUUCUUUCCUUAGGCAAAAGUUGUUGUUUAGAUUCAGGUAUAUUUCCUAGAUAAUCCUACAUAUGUGAGAACAUAUCAUAAAUCUACAGUUUUAUUUAAAAUUGUUUGCUUGUUCUCGACAUUUUUCUGUUACCCAGAUAGUGGUAUCACAGAACAGAAUAUUAGUUCACCACUUUAUUUUUACUUAUUAUUGUGUCUGGUUAUUGGUAUACAUCUGCUGUAGCAACAUGCUAUAACUAGCGAAUACCAGCACGAAUCAAUUUUAUUUAGUCACCGAAUUCCUUUAGUCGAUAUACUUUAGGUAUUUAUCUUAUUAUCGGUUUAAUUGAUUACAUCUCUGUUGGUUAGUAUGGAUAAGUGUGACAUACAUUACCUCACACUUUGUUCAUUUUUUUUUUGUUUAUUAGAUUUGGUUCAUGGAUGCUAUGGUAACUCGAUAUAAGGAUGGAAUCGAUCUAUGGCUGUCCUUUUGUUCGAAACCAUAAAUUCUAUAUCUAUAUCCAAUAGAUUAGUUUGGUAUAAGGUUUAGGUAGACCUAAGUUAUUUAUUUUAUAUAGUGUUAAUGAGAAUUGGUCCAUAAAUCUUCCUGAUCGUUCUUCUCUGGAUAUGCUUUUAUGAAUCUGGUGUCCAUUGUUAGUCCGAUUUUGGAUAGCGUCCGAUUGCUCUUAUUUUGUGUUAAUUAUUUCCUUGUAAUAUUAGUAUUAUUUGGUAUUAGUGAGAAUUGUUCCAAAAAUCUUCCUGGUUGCUCUUCUCUGGAUAUGCUGUUAUAAAUCUGGUGUCCAUUGUGAGUUCAAUUUUGGAUUAAGUGUUCAAUUCUUCAUUUCCUUUAGUCAAUCAUUACUAUGAUUUUAUUUUAGUAUAGCUACUAGUUCCUUAUUGUGCGAAUUGGAUCACAUUUUGCCUGGUUGUUCGUCCUUGGAUAUGCCAUCAUAAAUUUGAUGUCCAUGGAUAUUUCAAUUUUGGACCUAGUGCCCAAUUCGACACUUAUUUGUCACUAUAAAUUUAUUACUAUAAUCGAGUCAAUGUUUUGGUUUCUUCACUAAUGGUUUAUACAGACAUUUAAUAUGACUUUGAGUCAUCUUAUGGAAUCUGAAGAAGUCCAUACUUUUUCUUGAUAAAAUUGUCUUAAUCUUGUUAAUCAAUGUGUAAUGAAGAAAUAGACCACUAUGGUUAGUGAUAUAUUAAGUUUAGAAAAAAAAAAUUUUUGUACCUAAAAUUUUUUUUUCAUCAAGUUGGAGGGGAAUGUAACGGAACGUUACUUAAUGAAAAUAUUUUAAUUAAAAAUCAAUAAUUUAAUAUUUAUAAAAUGCUACUUUUCCAUCUUGCAACACCGCCAACACUGGACAUUAGUUCCACGAGUAGCCGCUGUCGCAAGUAUCAAGAAGAACUGUCAAAAUUUUAAAAAGUUUGACUGUUAGCUGAACCUCCAAAUAAAUAAGUUCCAAGUGGUCGGUGGCUUUUUGAACAAAAAAAGGAAUCACCUUUUAGUUAUUUUUUUUUUAUACGGAAGCUAUCGUAAUUAAGUUGAAGGAGGAGAAAGUUUUGUUUUGUUGAAGAAGAAAAGUAUUAAUUUGGUAAAAAUUUGGGAUGAUUGCUAUCGGCCACUUGGAACCACUGGAAUAUUCAUCCCACUAACAUCAGGGAUGAAAUAAAAAAAAUCUUUAGCGCAGUCACGGGGUAGCCUAGGAGCUGGAAUCGUCUUUUGAGUUGGUUUUUGGACUAUCAUUAUUUUGUUUGGAACUUUGGAAAAGACUUUACGUUAGUUGGUGUUGGACAGUGAUUAAGUAUUUUUUUUUUAUUAUUAUUUUCAAGAACAUUAAUUUUUUCUAAAUAAUUGGAACAUUCAAUAUCUAUUAAAAAUAUAAAAUUAAAUAAGUUUACAUUAUACUCCACUAAGUUAUUCAUAAUUUUUUCAAACAAAAACAAAAGAAAUAAUUUAAAUAUUUUCAAUUUUUAAUAAUAAAUAAUACCUCCUCUUCAAGGCUUCAAAUUUGCAUUUUUCUAAUAAAUUAAUUUCUUUUGUUUCUUUUCUCACGUGUAAAGGUAAUUGAGCUCAACUAUCCGGAGAAAAUUUGGUAAAUUUUUUAUAUAUUAUAAUUACUGAACCUUGGCUUUUGUCCUCCUCAGGGUAAUUGACCAUUUAACUUGUUUUUUUUUAUUAUUGUAACCGCACAUGAAGUUAGAGUUUUACCUCGAGUAGUGUGUCGGUUCAUUUUUGUACCAUAAAUUGGAUUUGACAUUUCAAACCAAUUUUUAGGGGUGGACUUUGUUCCUCUUUUGUUUAAACUACUCUGUAGACUGUAAAUUGUACAUACUUUAUUAGUAAAAUAUUUUUUAUUAAUUUUAGGGUAUACCUUGUUGGUACAUAUACGAAUUUUUUGUACAUAUAAGUAAAAGCUAAAUACACUAUUGAUUGGGUUGUAUAA